GCAGGCUGCAACCCGCCUGCGUGAAGUUGGAAUCGCUAGUAAUCGCGGAUCAGCAUGCCGCGGUGAAUACGUUCCCGGGCCUUGUACACACCGCCCGUCACACCAUGAGAGCCGGUAACACCCGAAGUCAAUAGUCUAACCGCAAGGAGGACAUUGCCGAAGGUGGGAUUGGUAAUUGGGGUGAAGUCGUAACAAGGUAUC
rnacentral:rRNA from 1 species